rnacentral:misc_RNA from 1 species
GGAAGUAAAAGUCGUGACAAGGUCUCCGUUGGUGAACCAGCGGAGGGAUCAUUACAGGACUCGCAAGACUCCUACAACCCUGUGAACUUAACUAUAAGCACGUUGCUUCGGCGGGUGUCUCGGAGGGGGUUCUCCCUCCCCGAGACGCUAAACCCGCCGGCAGCCUACUAUACUCUGUCUCUUUGCGUUGGCAUCUCGAGUACAAUCAAACAAGUUAAAACUUUCAACAACGGAUCUCUUGGUUCUG